rnacentral:lncRNA from 1 species
UUGCUUGUAGCGGAAGAGAGAGGGGAAUGGGGAAAAAGCCAAGGCCAAAGCCAAGCCCAAAGAUGACGUCUAUGCGAAUGGGACUUCUAAUCCUCAUUUGGAGAGCGUGGAGGACGACCAGACAAGUCCUAGCAGGUUACCAUCAAAGAAGAAGGCAUCAAUGAGCAGCUUACCCUCAAAGAAGAAAUUGUCAAAGAAAGCAUCACCAAGAAGCUUACCUUUAAAGAAGAAUUCAUCUAAGAAGGCAUUAUUAAAUAUGGCUAGAACUGUUAGGAGGUCAGGACGGCUUAGGAAUUUACGAUCAGCUAAGCCAAACCAAGAAAUGAUUGUGGAAAAGAUUGAUCUUGCUGGUAGUAAGAGUGAAGAGGAGUCACUUGAUCAACAAUCAAACUUAGAGCCUUUUCUUCAUCAAGAAAACUCAGAGCCUAUUGUUCAACAAUUGAAUGCAGAGUGUAUUGUUCAAGAAGUGAACACAGAGGCUGUUGUUCAAGAAGCAUACUCAGAGCCACUUGCUCAACUUUUUAACUCAGAACCAAUCUCUAAUCAACACAACUUGGAAGAAAAAAUUGACUUUCUUGUUCAGUCUGUUGAAGAAUUCAAGUCUCAGGUUGUUCAGGGUCAAAAAAGGUCAUUUCCAAGUGAAACUCAGCGUAUGGAACUUAAUUAUAAAAGUCUGUAUAUUGAGUCACAAAAAAAGGUUGAGGCCUUAACUGAGGAAAAUCAUCAACUCACCAAAAAGUUGGAAUUCCCCAGUGGAGUCGUCAAGUUGGAGCAAACUUUCCUUUAACCUCCUCUUGAAUCGGAAGAAUUCGCUUCGAAACCUUAUCCCAUACAUCAAAUAAGCGACAUUUGUCUUUCUUGUCAUAACCAAUAAACCAUCCUUUGUUGAUAGCAUUGUUCAUGAAAAAUAACAUUCAACCUCUUUUCCAUCCAUUGGAGACAGCAAUUCAUUGUGCUUCAUGAUCCAUUUGAUUUCUUCUACCUGAGCGUUCGUCAAAAUGCACAAGAACGGAAUCUCAAUUUUGGCAGGUAUUACCACUUCCAUUCGAAGCAUAAGGUGUUGCCCCAACUUAGAAAUGUAAUCUCCAAGUGAAAUGCUCCCCAAAGUUCAAUAGCAAAAAUUUGCAAAAUUGAAGGGAAAAUUCUCUCUCCUUUUUUUCACUCCCCUUUUUCUUUCUCCUUUUUUUUUUUUCAAGUUGGCUACUGAAGUAUGUACUCCUUCUGAAUAAAUAGCCGAUCCUCCACUUUGCAAUGUAGUAUUAUUGCCCCUUUUUUAUUCGUGAUUACCCUCCAAAUUUGCAAGAUUUUGACUUGCGUCUUUUUCUCAAUCUUAACCAUAAACUCCUGCACAAGGGGGAUUUUUCAAAACACUUGAAUUUUUCAAAAAUUUUUUUUUUCUUUUUUUCUUUUGUUUUGUUUUUCCUUUUUCCUUUUUUUUGAGUAAUGAUAUAAGAAUUAAGGUUCAAGCAAAGUGUUGACUUACCAAAAUUUGAAAAAUAUAUACUUGACCUUGGACAUAUCCUAUAAAUGUAUUAUAAAAUUGUCUCAAUUUGAACUUAUUUGGUGAAAUCUCACAAAUAUAUCACAAAAAAUUUGCCUCAAUUUGAGCUUAUUUUAGUUGCAAAAUAAUCACAUGCAAUGUGAAUAGAAACUACAUUUUUCAAAUGCAGAAUUUAAAUGUCAUAUCCAAACUCAUAUAGAAGAUUCCAUGAUAACUCUCUCAAAAUAAGACAAAAUUGCAAAAGAUCGAUUUCUCAUUUUUGGGAUCGGUGUUUAGAGAAAGUGGCCACUUUUCUUAUUAGCUCAUCCUUUAGGAUCAAACAAACAAGUAUUAUUUCUAAUUUUGAGAUGGCUCUGGGGGAUGGUAUGUCAGGAUUUGUAUUUUUUUUGUGCCCAAAUUUUGUCUAACCCAUUCAAUAUCACAUCUUGAUGAAAGUAAAUAGUUUAUCACCCUUAUUUCUUGAGAAAACUCAAUCAACAUAUAAGAUCUAUAGGCUUGUAAUAUAUGGGUAGAAACGAUAGUUAAAUAUAUGAAAACAGGUUAUGGUCUUAUGAUCAUGAGUGAUUGGUAGAUUCCUUAGAAACAUGAUCCUUACUUCAAAUUGUCAUGAAAGAUAAGUCAGUAAUGGACUUUAUGAGCUUGUAAUGUGGUUUGACAACGAUAGCUAAAAGAAAUAAAAUUUUCAAGAACAAUGCACUUAAGAUCAUAUUUCUUCCCAAAAAUUGCCCCAGUUUUGGACUUAACACUCGGGACCCCAUUUUGACUCUUUUUUUUUUUUUUUUAUCAAUCACGAGAGGGAAUUCAGCAUUGGAUGUCUUUGCAUUUUUUUUUUCAUUUUUCUUUGCUUCUCUCUUUUUCUUUCUUUUUUUUUUUACCAAUACUGAGAUUCCAAAUGUCAAUUAUAGAAUUGAAAACUCCCUAAUUUUGGAGUGUAGAUGGCACCUCUUUCUUUUCGAUAUUGAAGACCAAAUAUCAAUGGUAGAGUCAAAUUCCCCCAACUUAUAGUUUUUCUCUUUUCUUCUUUUUUUUUUAAAAAAACUCCUUCCUCAGUGUGGGGGUACGAUCAUAAUUGCUUUUGAAACGAACCCACCAAUUUAGGUUCAAAUAAAGAUGCAAAGAAUAAAAAGUGUUUGGAUGGUAGAAACGAUGGCCAAAACAUCAUUCUUAUUUCUCAUGACAACCAAAGUAAAGAAUAGCCUGUUGGGAUAAUCCAUUUCCUUUUGACAUUUGAAAAUUUUUUCAUGUAAGGUCAUGAUCAUUGAGGCUUUUAUUUGAAACGAAAUUCUAUUUUUUAAAGUCUCAAAUGGAAAAACAAAUGAUAAAAUCUGUAUAGAUUGAUAAACGAAAACUUAAAGUAUCAUUCCAAAUUUUCAAAACAAAUAAGAAGUAAUGUACAUUUUUGAUUUCACUUAGAUGUGGAUUGAAUCUGAUUAGACAAAGUGAACAUUUUCACUGUAAAGAUUGUCUCACUUUAAAGCUCGUCAACCAAUGUGACUGGCUUUGUAAGUUCGAUAGACGUGGACAAAAAUAUAAAUUACAAAAAUAAGAGAGAGAAAAGUAUCGGAGUUGAUCUUUUAUGACAAACUAUCAAAUUUGAGUGACCCCUUUUGCUUUCAACUACUCUCAUUGAAUAGUUUAGAUCACAAAUUUAGUGUAUACAAAGAUUUUUGGGAAUUGGACAAACACUUGUGAAUUUUCAAACAAAAGGUCGAAAAAUCUCAAUUUAGUCUUAUUUUUUAAAAUCCAUCAUGAAAUCUUUCAAUGAGCAAAUAAAGAAUGAAUAUAUGCAAAAUAAUAAUUGUCUAAAUAAAAACUUAUUAUUCAAAUAUUUGAAUUUUUUUUACUCAAAUAUAAUACAUAUGAGAAAAUAAAAAUCUCUAAAGAAUACACUUUCAAAUAUAUACACUUUCUCUUUCUAUCUUUUGAGAUAAAAUGUUUUGGAAACAAUGAAUCAAGAGAUUUUUGAGAUGCUUCAAGAGAUUUUCAAAUGGAUUUUUCAUUUAUUUUUUUUAUAAGAUCUGCCCAAGAAUCAAGUAACACUCAUAAUUUUCAAAAAUUUAUCAGACCAAAAAUAUUAUCAGAUAUAGUAAAAAUAUUUUUUACUCCAUUGAAACAUUUUUUCUAAAUGCAGGGGAGGGGAAAAAAUAAAAGAAAAAUACCCAGAGUUAGUAAGCAAAAUUGUAAAAUCAGGAUACAUGUCCUAUGGGGAAGUCCUUUUAUGCCAAGGGUUGGCCUAGCAUGAAAAAUGUAAUCUUUUGGGGUAAGCACCAUACAAUACCUGAUAGAUCCGAUCGACUUAUUGAGAUUCGAAUAAAAGACAAUUUUGAAAAUUUUGGCUAAUUGGAGUGACAGGAGACAAUUUGUUCUAACAAAAUGAGGAAAAAGUCCGAAUGGAUUGAUUGCUUUUGAUUGACACAUAAAGUGAUAUUAAAAAUCAAUUUAAUGUGAAAAACUUAUUUUUGAAAGAAUUGAAAUGUCUCGACUAGUUUUUUCGGUGAACUAUAGAUCGAAACUUUAAAAGAGAAUAAACGAGUUAAAUGGAUCGAAUGAAAUUGAUUAUUAGUUCAAAAAAUUGACUGAAUUAUCCAAAAAGUGAAUAAAACUGAUCAAAUGAAUUGAAUGAAAUUGAUGAUUUAUUCGAAAAAAAUUGAUUGGAUUAUCCUAAAAAUGAAUGAUGAAUUGGAUGGAACUGACGGUUUAUUUGAAAAUUGACUUGAUUGCCCAAGAAGUGAAUAAACUAGUAAAAUGAAUUGGAUGAAAUUGACGAUUUAUUCAAAAAUUGACUGGACUGACCUGAAGUGAAUAAAUCGGUCAAAAUGGAUUGGAUGGAAUUAACGGUUUAUUCGAAAAUCGACUGGAUUACUCCACUAUUUGUAGUUUCAAAACUCACAAAAUUUGUUGCAAAGCAUUAGUCUAUGAGUUUUCUAAAAUCAAGAUUUGACCUCGAUAUAUUUAUCAUCUCAACAAUGAGAAAUUAUUUGUGAAUUUUUUCAAUUUAUUGUCCUUUAUGCAAAGGAUUUUACCAACUUUGACAAAAUGGCCAAAAAAUGAUUAUUAAAGGCUAAUAUUCCAAUGCGCGAAAACUGUUCCAUCACUAUUCUCAAUGUCGUCAUCGUGGAAGGGAUCAGAUCCUACCUUACCUUGUGAAUUACCUCUUUGGAUGGUACAAAAAUAUAAACGUGCAAGUCACAUUGGAUUGUGUAUUCGAGACAAAAGAUAGAUUUUUCCUAACGUGGGAUUCCCUAUGCGGCAUUCCGUCUAUGGUUAAUGCAUGAUGACAAUUUAUUAAAACGUAUUAAAUAUACAAUGAAAUAAUUGAAAUAUGACCUAUAAGUGUCCCAUUUAAAUGGCAGGGUAAGCUUAAAAUGAUGUACAUGUAUAUAUAUAUAUAUUUAUAUAUACACAUAGUAUUAACGCGAUAAACUGAAAUUUAAACGUGCUAUUUACAAAAGGUGGUCUGCCCUAAGUGAGUACCACGCUAGGACUCUUGUUUCUAGGGCUUAUGAAUGCAAUAUAAGAAAAUAAAACAAUGGUUAGUUUAAUAAACGACACAUAACAUAUUGGAUCAACAAAAUAAUACAUAAAUAUAAGAUAAAAAAGAAAAAGAGAGGGGGUAAAAUCCCUCCCGUCGUAUCUAGUGUUCUUAAUAGGGUAGAUGAAGGUUCUAUCUUAGGUGAUUUCUAAAUGGAUGCAUGAGGUUGGGCUCACUAAUGCAUCUAAACUCGAUAAAGUUUCAGAUUCCCAAACCUUCAGACAAAAGGGCGAAGGGUCCUCAAUUCCAAAGUUCUUAGUCGGUGGCUCGAGUGACCCCUUUGAUAUUGCAACGUGCAUGUCGUGCCACGGUCACAUGUUCAAGUGGAUCGAUCCUAAUCCUAACAUAGAGGAAUGGUGUGAUAACCACUAAAAGAAAAUAAGAUAAAAGUUAAAAAUAAUAACAUAUGCACGUAUGAAGUGCUCAUUUGAGGGGAAGGAGUAAUACCCUUAAACAUGCAUGAAGGCUCUAUGGUAAUGUCGCUCCCCAUCCCCAAAUGCUAAGCGCGAUACAAAUAAAUAAAUAAACAAAAGUAAAUAGAUAAACCAUUUAUCACAUACACAAAAAACGAGGAACGAAUACUAGUGUGAAAUGUAAAACAUUCUGAAAAAAAGAAAAAUGCAACCUAAAACAUUCAAAUAUGAUAAAUGAAAGGGUUAGAAAGAUAAAAAACAACUAUGCCAAGUGCUUGGACUCUCUAGCGUUCCCAGUAGAUUCGCCAAGUAGUCGCGCCCUAUUUUUCACGAUGGAAAAAAAAUAUUUUUACCAUAGAUGCGGUUUUAUUUAAAAUAAGUGAAAAGAAAAUGUGAAAAGGGAUCUAAAAUGAGACUUUAAAAAAUGCGACACUUUGGGUCCAAAAAUUUAGUCAAAAGGAUUUUAAAGAAAAUAGAAGUCGCCACUUGGUAUUGAGUUUGAGUGUACCAAGUCACCCCAAAAAAUAUUUUUUAACAAAAAUAAAAUAAAAUAAAACUCCUUUCGACAACUACAGGUCUUUGAAAAACAAAAGAAAAUAGGUUCGGAAGUCACGGUCGAAAAAAGGGAAGGCAAAGAUUUGAUUAACUCAAACUUAAGGCAUCCUUUCAACUUAGUCUAAGUUAGUUGCGAGAUUUAGUCAAAAUUUUCCUAAUCUAGCUCUUAAUUCUAUCACAUUUGGAUGUUUUCUACAUGAAUGCAAAUCUAAAUUUAUAAAAUAUCGAAAGGGACAAAAUAUCCAUUUAAGGGUUUAAUUGAUACCAAUCGCAUUGAUUGCGAAGACAAAAUAAUUUCUUGAAGGGGUCACGAGCAUGCAUAAAUUGAAUUCAAAGAAAAGAAAAGAAACUUAAAUUAUAUAUCUAGAUAUAAGUGCGCAAAGAAUAGAAAAACAACAUAAUAGAUACGGGAGACAAAAACUCGUGACCUAAUUUUCUUAUACAGGGAUUAAUGGGUAUUUAAACUAAAAAAUUAUAAUCACCCAUUUCCCAUGUUCAAAGAAUAAUUCUCCUAACAUGAGCAAGCAAAUGAAUUAGCUGAAAUGAGAUACAAUUCUAAAUUAUAUGAUUAACACAUAUAGAGGGUAGGGGAUAAUAUAAUAGGAAAUAUCAUGCAAAUGAGAAAAAUUCUAAAAAUAAAAAUAUACAUGAAAAUGUAAUGGAUAUCAUACAAAAGAUGAAUCUAAUGCAUGAACCAUAUACGGGUCUCGCGUUGGACUAGCCCAUUUCUAAAAAAAUCUUUACUAGCAUUGGACUAGCAAGUAAAUAGAGGGAGAAACCACAACUAGCAUUGGACUAGUGUGGUGACGUCAUGCAUUCUUAACACAUAAUAUGAUAAAUAAGGCAUAAAUUAAAAUAAACAAACACAUAAGAGCACGUAGCACGUAACACAUGAUAUCUAAAUGCAAAGACCCUAAGAAAACGAGUAAACACGUAAACAUACAAGUAUGCAAACACACAAAGCAAAUAAGAGCAGAUAGAGACCUAACUAUUACAAUUUGGCAUUCAAUUGCCUUUUAAAUAAUCAUCAAAAAAUAAAUUUGUAGAACUUAAAAUAUAACAAGUAAAUAAAUAAAUAAAUAAAUAAAACACUUAAGCCAUGCAAUUACAAAUAAAACAUGUAGGAUCACAGAAAAAAUUUUAAAUUAUGAAAGAAAAUACCUCCCAUUGAAGUAGUAGCUACUUGAGUUUGGAUUUGCCCUAUUUAACUCCAAAAUUAACCAAAAUCAUUAAGGCACCCAUUUAAUCAACAAAUAAAUCAUUAAAAAUGGAAAUAAACAUGAAAUCAAUCAACUGAAACAUUCAAAUGGAAUAUAAUUCAUAAUUAAAAAGGAAAAGCAACUUCUAUUUAAGUAAUCAAAUCUAUUAGGGACCUAAUUACAAAAAUUAACAAAGUUUUAGGGAUCAAAUUGAAUUAUCACAAAGACCCAAGGUCAAAAUUAAAGAAAAAUAAAGUUUAGGGACCUAUUUACAAUUAAAUUAGGGACUUAAUUGAAGAAACCUAAAGUAUUUAGGACCACAAUAAAAUUAUUCAAAAAUCAAGGGACUGAAAUAUAAUUUCGUAACCAGAUUCUUAGCCAAAUCGGCCAUUAGGCCACUCUUAUUUAUCAUUUGGGCCAAAGGCCAUAAGGUCCACACAAAAGUCUAAGGAAAAAUACACAGGCUAGCCCGUAGUUGUAUCCAAAACACCAGCCCAAUGACAAAUGCAUGGGCUCUAGCCUCCUAUCCCAAGCCGAAAAUCCCAAUAAAAUAAACUAAAACCCAUUUCUAAAACCCAAACAAAAUAGCCCAGAUUUUUAUAUAAAACCCACCUAACAAACCUCAACCAAAACCUCCAACUAUUUUACCAAACCCAAUCAAAAUAAUAAAUCUAUCAAAAUUAUUAAAUCUUAAAUUUCAUCCUAAAAUUCAUAAAUAAUUUGUAAAAAAAAUCAUAUUAAAAAAUGCCAAAGAAAAUUUAAAUUUAAAGGGGCAGAAUUGAUUAUUUGCAGAAGUUUUUGAUCCACAGUGAAAUUAGGUAAAAAUUGGGGGAUCAAAAAUGAAAUUUUCAGAAAAUUCAUGCAUCCUGCCCAAAGCUUUCUUCUGCAGUUUCUGGGUUUGCUUGUCCGGCCAACUGAAGCUCCGACAGCCACGGCGGCGCCGACGCCUGUCACCGGAAAUUUCUCUGGUUGCCAAAAAUUACCAAAAUACACAUCCCCAUUCGAUUUUUGAAGUAGAUUCUAUUUUUUAAGUUAAUUUUUACAAAAAAAUGACCCGAAAGUGGCCAAAAGAGCAAAAGCCAGUCCAGUUUUUUUUUAACAUUCAAAUCUUCAUCAAAAAUCACAAAACUUUAUACUACCACACUCCUUGCAACUUCUACAAUACCACUAUAUUUUUAAAAUAAAGCAAAACAGCCCCUAAAAUUUAUUUUUUUUUCAUUUUGGCAUUUUUUCAAACAGUUAGCAUACAUAUAUAAAAAUUAUUUCCUUUUCCCUAAUCUAAUUCAAAUCAUUUUCCAAAUUUUUAACAAUACAACAAUAACAAUAAAAGACCACAAAAGCCAGAAAAUUAAACGAUAAAAUAUGGCUUUAACAUGGUUAACAAAAAAAUGAAAAAAAUACCUCAAUCUAAGCAAGAGUUUCACGGUCAAAAUUUUGAAGGGACUCCCAGGCUUCAUUCCUUCGUUGCUUGCUUUGUUGUAUUUAAAUUGUGUGUAGAUGUGUUGUGUGAAUUGAGAAAAUGGAGGGAUAGAGCCGAAAGGAUCAGAGAAAUUUUUUUCUCCUUCUUCCUCUCUGUUUUUUUAUUUCGGCAGCCUAAGCUGAGAGAAGAAGAGAGUGAGGGUCUCUCUGCAAAAUUUUCUUCUACUCCAUUGAGCCAGCCGAGAGAGGGAGAGAGUAAGAGAGUUUUUUUGUUGCUUUCUUCUAAUUUUUUUUCUUCUCUUGGAUCUGUUGCUUCUUCUUUUCUUUCUCUGGUCAAAAGGAUUGAUGGCCAUCAUGAGUCAUCAUGAAGGCUCAUGAUGACUUUCUUUGUCUAGAGUUUCAAAGCAACUCAAGACAAAGACGUAGACACUAAAUUACUUACCUAUCUCUUCUAACUGCACCUGAGUUAAAAUAAACAAGCCAACACUUGGCUGAAAUUAUUGGGCAAAAUGAUGCAAUAACGUUGCAAAACAUGUGACCGAACACUUGUAGAGUUGCAUACGUAUCCUGCCAUGAGAAUCAGGUCAAACGUAGUUCAAAUACAAGUGAACCACAAUAAAACAAGUGCAUUGACCAUCUAUGAUCUUUGCAAAAUCGAAAAAGUUUGAGCUCUCAGAACUUCUAAACAUGAAACACAAAAUGAAUGAUAAAGAACAAUUAUUCAUCAAAAUAGUCAAGAAAAGUGGGUUGUUAUGAUUUAGAAAACGAUGCGCGGCGGGACUUGGUUCUCUGGUCAAUAGGAAAUUAAAUUUGUCAAGAAGGGAGGUAGAAAGGUGCACGGCAGACGUUGAGAUUCAUCAACAGGAAAUUAAAUUUGAUUUGUCAGGAAAUAACAGAUUGGUGGGAUAAGACCCGAGCCCAAUGCAAAUAAAAAUGAUCGGUGGGAUAAAAUUCAAGGCCGCCGUAGUUGGUGGAAUCAAAUCCAAGUCCAACAAGGUAAAAAGGGUCAGUGGAAUAAAACCCAAACCUGUCGAAGUUGGUGGACACGUUAGUGGGAUGAAUCCGAUGCUAACAGUGAUAAAAAAAAACAUGUUAGUGAGAUAAACUCGAUCCUAACGGUGAUAGAAAAAACACACGUUGGUGAGAUAAAGUCGAUGCUAACAAUGAUAGAAAAAACACACGUUAGUGAGAUAAGCUCGAUGCUAACGGUAAAAGAAGAAACACACGUUAGUGAGAUAAAUUUCAUCCUAACUGCGAUAAAAAAAACACGUUAGUGAGAUAAACUCGAUGCUAACUGUAAUAGAAAAAAUACGUUAGUGAGAUAAAUUCGAUACUAACGGUAAUAGAAAAACACAACACACGACCGGGACGUGCCAUCCGGAAACCGGGACGAGGGUAAGAAAGUUUUUAAUGCCACCCCGCCCAAUUGCGUCCAGUCACAUGACCGACAACUCCCCCUCUCUUGGCACUCUCUGGCUUGCUCUAGUAUAGACUGGUGUCCCGAUUCGUCUCAAGAUAGAUUUCGCUGAUAUUAUAAAGAGAGGCAAAAUGUACAGUAAAGACCCAAAGAUACAUAUCCCCAACCAAAAAAUAAUAAUAAUAAAAGAAGUACAGAGAUAGAGUUGCUGGUAGCGGAAGAGAGAGGGGAAUGGGGAAAAAGCCAAGGCCAAAGCCAAGCCCAAAGAUGACGUCUAUGCGAAUGGGACUUCUAAUCCUCAUUUGGAGAGCGUGGAGGACAAGCAGACAAGUCCUAGCAGGUUACCAUCAAAGAAGAAGGCAUCAAUGAGCAGCUUACCCUCAAAGAAGAAAUUGUCAAAGAAAGCAUCACCAAGCAGCUUACCUUUAAAGAAGAAUUCAUCUAAGAAGGCAUUAUUAAAUAUGGCUAGAACUGUUAG